rnacentral:rRNA from 1 species
AUGGCGUCCGUGGCAGCGGUGGAGGGCGCGGCCGCGGCGCUCCGUUCGGUGUUGUUGCGCGCGAAGCAGGCGGCGACGCGGCCUGGGCGCGCGUCGGAGUCGCUCUUCAGUGAGCUCGACAAGAUGUGCUUGAAGAAAAGGGCCAUUGGAUUGUACAGGAAGAAUGGGAUGUUGUUCUUUGCUGCUUCACCUAGCCUUGCUGCUCGACCAUGUUGCCCCUGGUGUUGUUGUUGUGGGUUGGUGCUGCUGCUGUUGCAGGGGUAG